CAGUCGCCGCGGUAAUACGUAGGUGGCAAGCGUUGUCCGGAAUUAUUGGGCGUAAAGGGCUCGCAGGCGGUUUCUUAAGUCUGAUGUGAAAGCCCCCGGCUCAACCGGGGAGGGUCAUUGGAAACUGGGAAACUUGAGUGCAGAAGAGGAGAGUGGAACUCCACGUGUAGCGGUGAAAUGCGUAGAGAUGUGGAGGAACACCAGUGGCGAAGGCGACUCUCUGGUCUGUAACUGACGCUGAGGAGCGAAAGCGUGGGGAGCGAACAGGAUUAGAGACCCCUGUAGUCCCUGUCUCUUAUAC
rnacentral:rRNA from 1 species